GGGUGCGAUCAUACCAGCAUUAAUGCACCGGAUCCCAUCAGAACUCCGCAGUUAAGCGCGCUUGGGCUAGAGUAGUACUGGGAUGGGUGACCUCCCGGGAAGUCCUAG
rnacentral:rRNA from 1 species